UACGGAGGGGGCUAGCGUUGUUCGGAAUUACUGGGCGUAAAGCGCACGUAGGCGGCUUUGCAAGUCAGAGGUGAAAGCCCGGGGCUCAACCCCGGAAUUGCCUUUGAGACUGCAUCGCUAGAAUUGUGGAGAGGUAAGUGGAAUUCCGAGUGUAGAGGUGAAAUUCGUAGAUAUCGGGAAGAACACCCGUGGCGAAGGCGGCACUCUGGGACGGUACUGACGCUGAGACGCGAAAGCGUGGGGAGCAAACAGG
rnacentral:rRNA from 1 species